AUCACUUCUUGGCAUUUUGGCCAAGAUCAAGUGUACUAUCUGUUCUUAUCGUUUCAUUAUGUUCUCUAUAAGGGAACAACAUGUUAAACAGAGUUUUAGAUUAGAUUUUUACUCCAUGCACUGACCUGAUUUUGCAGUACCGCUGGGAACGCUGCCCCCUCA
rnacentral:snRNA from 1 species